AUACUGCUGAAGAGUCCCAGGCUAGGACGGAGCAGCUGUCCAGUAG
rnacentral:hammerhead_ribozyme from 1 species